GUAAAGGGAUGGGGAACGUGACAUGGGUGCAGACCCCAUCAGCGUCGUCGGUUUAUUCUCCAACGUUAGAGAUGCUGCCGGGAGACUGCACUCUUGGCAUCCCUCCCACCCGGGUUUUGCCUUCCUUCUGGUUUAGGGAAGAGGGUGUGUCAAAAUUCUUUUUUCCUCAGGCUGGUGUUCUGAGGCGGGCACUCUGAUGAGCCCAUAGGCCUAGAAGGAUGGUGGAAGAGCACAUUUCCCUCCAGUUUGGUGGGUAUUGUUAGAUGCGCCCUUAUCACCUGGGAAAAACGUUUCCCCAAGAAUUGGCUCAUUGUGGGUUGAGGUCCCAGCUUUUGGAGGCAGAGGGCAAGGGUUCGCUGAAAGGAGGUACUGGUUCUCCAGCCCGUGGUGUCCCGCCAGAGUGGCCCUAGGGGCUCCGUGUCACAGCAGAGAAAGUGCUGGAGGCAUCGGGUUACCAACAUUGUUAGGAAGAGAUUGGGAAAUAGCGGCAGGUGACUGUGUGUGCUCUACUGGUGUCACACAUCAGGACACUUCGUAAACCAAAAACCAGGUGAAGGCAGUGGGAAUAGGAAAGCCACCACGGUGUGACUGCGCUGGAGCUGGAAGUAAUCCCCGUGGGACUUUUCACUUUGCACCUGCCGAGAUCCAGCUGCUGACCUAGUGAGACUCCCCUGUGGGAGACUAGGUGGAAAAGCCGCAGGGGAUUCUGAUGGUCAUUACUGGCUAAGAGCUACUAUGAUACUGGAUUUCUUUGCAAAGCCCUCUGUGAUCCUCUGUGGUCCUAGGAGAAGACCACAGAAAGCGGGGAUGAAAUAGGCCCAGGGCCAGCCUCAGCCACUGGGAGAGGGGGGCCGUGGGAAGGGCCCUGCCUCCUCCAGUUGUUUGGAUUCUUUCUUGGAAUAUAAAGUCGAAGAGAUUUGGCCAGGGUGGGGUGUGAGCGCGUGUGCAGAUUUCUGCCUCCUUGGAUUCCGGAAGGCUCGCUGGAAGCGAAGAACUGUUAGGCGUACUCAAGCCAGUUUGUUUUCUAAAGUAAACAUCUGAUGAGAUUGGAAUUGGAGAAUGAAUAGAGAACUGAUCUCCUGCUACUCAGAAUUCUGAUGCCGCCGUGCAGUGGUUAACCUGAGAGGUGGGGGUUCCUCUGUUUCUCAGCUUUAGGGUGGUGCCAGAUGCGGAUAAAUAAGAUAUUGGACAUCACCUGGCAGAAAACGUCAGGUCUUAGAGCUGAAGUAUGGCCGCCCUGCCUGACUCAUCUGGAAAUGGCCUUGCACGCUGUUGUGUAGGCGGGACGGUGGACGUGUGACUUUGCCGAGUGUAAAGGCCCCCUUCUGUCUCCAGGACACCAUGAACGCCAUCGUCGCUCUCUGUCACUUCUGUGAGCUCCACGGCCCCCGCACUCUCUUUUGCACCGAAGUUCUGCACGCCCCACUUCCUCAGGGGGCUGGGAAUGGGGACAGCCCUGGGCAGGGCGAACAGGCCGAGGAGGAGGAAGGUGGCAUUCAGAUGAGUAGUCGGAUCCGCGCUCACAGCCCGGCGGAAGGGGCCAGCGCGGAGUCCAGCAGCCCGGGGCCCAAAAAGUCAGACAUGUGCGAGGGCUGCCGGUCACUUGCUGCAGGCCAUCCUGGGUAUAUCAGCCAUGAUAAAGAGACCUCGAUUAAAUAUGUCAGUCACCAGCACCCCAACCACCCCCAGCUCUUCAGCAUUGUUCGCCAGGCCUGUGUGCGGAGCUUGAGCUGUGAGGUCUGCCCUGGCCGUGAAGGCCCCAUCUUCUUUGGAGAUGAGCAGCAUGGUUUCGUGUUUAGCCACACUUUCUUCAUCAAAGACAGCCUGGCCCGGGGCUUCCAGCGCUGGUACAGCAUCAUCGCCAUCAUGAUGGACCGGAUUUACCUCAUCAACUCCUGGCCCUUCCUGCUUGGAAAGAUCCGAGGGAUCAUUGAUGAACUUCAGGGCAAAGCACUCAAGGUAUUUGAAGCAGAGCAGUUCGGAUGCCCACAGCGUGCCCAGAGGAUGAACACGGCCUUUACGCCAUUCCUGCACCAAAGGAAUGGUAAUGCCGCUCGUUCGCUGACCUCCUUGACAAGCGAUGACAACUUGUGGGCGUGCCUGCACACCUCCUUUGCUUGGCUCCUGAAAGCGUGCGGCAGCCGGCUGACUGAGAAGCUCCUGGAGGGCGCCCCCACAGAGGACACCUUGGUCCAGAUGGAGAAGCUUGCGGACUUAGAAGAGGAAUCAGAAAGCUGGGACAACUCUGAGGCUGAAGAGGAGGAGAAAGCCCCUGUCGUGCCAGACGGUGCAGAAGGGCGGGAGCUGACCAAAUGCCCAGCAGAGUCUUCCUUGCUCUCAGACUGUGGAAACUGGCAGCCCCGAAAGCUGUCUGUCUUUAAGUCCCUUCGGCACAUGAGGCAGGUCCUGGGUGCCCCGUCUUUUCGCAUGUUGGCCUGGCAUGUUCUCAUGGGGAAUCAAGUGAUCUGGAAAAGCAGAGACGCAGACCUUGUCCAGUCAGCUUUUGAAGUUCUUCGGACUAUGCUGCCGGUGGGCUGCGUCCGCAUCAUCCCUUACAGCGACCAGUAUGAGGAGGCCUACCGGUGCAACUUCCUGGGGCUCAGCCCCCACGUGCAGAUCCCCUCCCACGUGCUGUCCUCAGAAUUUGCUGUGGUCGUGGAGGCCCACACAGCCCCUCGCUCCAGCCUCCACCCGGUCGGGUGCGAGGAUGACCAGUCCCUCAGCAAGUAUGAGUUCGUGGUGACCAGUGGAAGUCCCGUAGCCGCGGACCGAGUUGGCCCCACCAUCCUGAACAAGAUGGAAGCUGCUUUGAGCAACCAGAAUCUGUCUGUGGGUGUGGUGGACCAGUGCCUCGUCUGCCUCAAGGAGGAGUGGAUGAACAAAGUGAAGGUCCUCUUUAAAUUCACCAAGGUGGACAGUCGGCCCAAAGAGGACACGCAGAAGCUCCUCAGUAUCCUUGGAGCAUCCGAGGAGGACAAUGUCAAGCUGCUCAAGUUCUGGAUGACGGGUCUGAGCAAAACCUACAAAUCGCACCUCAUGUCCACCGUCCGCAGCCCCACGGCCUCAGAGCCUCGUAAUUGACCCUGCCAUGGGAAUCUGAGCCCACGUUCACCUGAAAAGCGGCGAUUGCCAUCUUCGCCGCUGAGCUCAGAGACGGGUCUCGGAGGGCAGUCACAGACCACUCCUGUUUCCUGUUUCCAAGCGGUUCCCUUCUCUUCAUGACCUUGGCAGUCUGGAAAAAUACUGGCCAGUUAUCCUGUGGAAUGGGAUAACAAGUCCUUCCAUCUGGAUUGCUGACGUUUCCUCCUCAUGAUAGAACUGGGUGUAUGAGCUUUGGGAACAACCACCGCAGAAGUGAGGUGCCCUUCUCAUCAUAUCCGGGUUUUGGCCACUGGAGUCUCUUUUAGGCUACUCCUGUGUCUUUUGUUCCUGCUGCCAUGUCCACAUGCUCAAUUUCUCGUACAAGAUGCCGAAAAUACAUCUACAGUCUCCGUGCCCAACACCCAGAAUCUGUUAUUUCUUCGAGAAUGGUGUUUGGAAACUAAGAUCUGGGACCUAGCAUGCUCAUUAUUGCCGGGGUGUCACUGCUUCUGGGCCUCUUGGGGGACUGAGGUAUGUGAGCCCGCAAUUGGGGCGCGCGGUGCAGCUGCUUCACCAGCGCGGGGUGCGCGUCCGGGUCAUCACCGACUGCGACUACAUGGCCCUCAACGGUUCGCAGAUCGGCCUGCUCCGCAAGGCAGCCCUUAUGAUUAGAAAACACCGUUGGAGUGGGAAUUGGCCUCGACAGUGCCCACAGCUGUGAAGUACACCAGGAAGGUUUGAAGGAACCAAUACAACGACAUCGUGUCUUUUUAAUUUAUUGGGAGAGAGACAGACACAGUGCGAGGCAGAAGCUGCGAAGUUGUGAGAUCAUGACCUGAGCUGAAACCAAGAGUUGGACACUUAACCAAGACAGAGCGCUGGGUUGCACACUGGAGAGCUGCUGAUGCAGAUUUGUGUUUUCCAGGAUUCUUCCAACACACGUCGGAGCUCUGUGGCCUCUCGUGGAACGGCCCCAAAUAGACAUCCUUUGGGGACCCACCGGAAAGCUGGCAUUUAUGAAUUGAGGAAGCGCCCCAGUUACGUAAGAGUGCAUUCUGUAGGUAGUUUUCCAAGGCUCUUCAGUGGCAUCCACGUAAACCCAGCACCAGUGCCAAAGUCCCAGCCCUCGCCUCCCUUAAUAUUGCAGCCACAUGUGCUGGUAUCUGGAACGGUGAUGACAAGGACACGUUCUGAAGCAGCUUGAUAAUCUUUCACAUAAAAUUUUGUCCUGUGCAAGUUAAACUAGACAGCCAGUAUAGUGCAGGGCAUUUUCCAGUUUCUGCCUCUGGUGGUAAGUAGAUAGCAAAUUUCAUCUUGCAGUUGAGUUCAACACUGUCGUGUUCAAAAACUUUCUGAAGUCCUCCAGAGCACCUGUUGCAGGCAUUCUUCUCCUGACCGAUUGCUACUUGCCUUGUUAUCUGCACCAAAAGGUAGGUGACCCUCGGGGGUCAGUGGUGGUGGGAAAAGCAGUGGUCGGAAUGGAAAGGUGAGGCCUCAGCAUGGCUGCCCAUGCCACCUUCUCCGGUCUCUUCAUUCUCAUCCCUGACCCCCAUUGGGUCUGCCCACUUUUGGGUCAGGUCUGUGAACCAUUUUGAGGUUUUGUGUAUGGUGAGAGGCAGGGGGUCCAACUUCAUUCUUUUAUAUGUGGAUAGCUAGUUGUCUCAGCACCAUUUGUUGAAAAGAUUAUUCUUUCUCCACUGAGUGGUUUUGGUAUUCUUGUUAAAAAUCAGUUGAUUACCUAAAUGCAGUUGCUUAUUUCUGGAUUCUUAAUUCUGGUCCAUUGGUCUGUGUCAGUCCCUGUGCCAGUACACACACUGUCUUGACUACUUAGGCUUUGUGUCAAGUUUUGAAACCCGGUAAACAAGUCCUUUAACUUUGUUCUUCUUUCCAACAUUGUUUUGGCUAUCCUGGGUCCCGUUACAUGUCUUUAUGAAUCUUAGGAUCAGCUGAUCAGCUUUUGCAGAAGCAGCUGGGAUUGUGUUGAGUCUUUAGAUCAAGUUGGAGAGUAUUGCCGUUUUAACGAUAUCACAUUUUCCAACCCGUGAACAUGGGAUUCCUUUCCAUUUGUUUAAAUCUUACUUUUUUUUUUGUAGUUUUCAGUGUCUAAGUCUUACACUUCUUUCAAAAGAGUUGAUUCCCAAGUAUUUUAUUCUUUUUGAUAUUAUUGCAAAUGGAAUUGCUUUGUUUCAGGUUGCUACUAAAUACAAUUCAUUUUUGUAUAUGAAUCUUGUAUCCUGCAAACUUGCAGACCUCAUAUCAGUUUCAAUAGAUUUUUUUAGUGGAUUCCCUUGUGUUCCCGUAUACAAGAUCAUGUUACCUGCAGAUAUAGUUUCUACUUCUUCCUUUUCAACAUGGACGUUUUCCUAUUUCUUGCCUGGCUAGAAUCUCCAGUAGUGUUGAAUAUCUAUGGUGAGAAGAGCUAUCCUUGUCUUGUUGCUGAUCUUAGGGGAAAGCUGCCAGUUUUUCACCAUUAAGUAUGAAGUCGUGGGGUUUUUAUAAAUGUUCUUUAUCACACUGAAUUUGCUUACUUGUAUUCCUAGUUUGCUGAGUGCUUUAAUCAUGAAAGGGUGUUAGAUUUUCUAAGUGCCAACUGAUUUUCACAAUUGCAAUUACACAGCUUUAAAAAAAUGUUAAAGUUAUUAGAAUACCAUUAGGACCAGUGUCUAGAAUUUUUUUAAAGAACAAAAAAUUAUCGAAACAUUUUUAAACAACUGGAAUAGCACACUGGAGGUAUGCUACUUUGUAUGUCUGUACUCUUAUUUUUUCUAAGUUUUUUGAAUUCCAGAAGUUGAUUUCCAAUAGGUAGAGUCAGAAUUUGUUUUUUUCUGUUUACUGAAUAAAUGUUUGGAUUUCCACACACUUUCACCUAUUUCAUUCCAAAGGGUGUGGCAAUAUUGGGAAAAUCCAGUUUCUUAUUUUCUUAUGCUAUUCAGUGGGCCACAACUAGAAUUUUAAAAAAUUUAACAGAAUGUAGGGUGCAUUCUUUUGUGAAAUUUUGGGUUAUGGUGUGUGUGUGUGUCUGUGUGUAUUGGGUCAUGAGAUAGGAUGUAUUUUCUCUUUGAAACACCAAGUACAACUUUAUUGUAAAAAACCUAAUAAUAAAGGGGCGGAUAUGAGAGAGUUCUAUUUCCUUGAUUGAUAGUUCUAGCUCGUUCCUCUCUAGUAUUUUUUAUGCUGCUUUUGGCCUCCCUUGAAGGUUUCUAGAGCAGAGCCAAUGUACCUUCAUUUGAUUCGUGAUAUAAAAUAAAUUUUUAUGCAUUGUAUGUGAA